AAGAUUUCUGUCUACAAUUUUAUAAACAGCAGUAAUAUUUUUAGGUACUCAAGAUCAAUACAGAAUAAGCAACAAAAUGUAUGUACAAUGUUAUUCAACUUGUUAAGCAGAAUAUA